GACGAACGCUGGCGGCGUGCUUAACACAUGCAAGUCGAACGAAGAGCGAUGGAAGCUUGCUUCUAUCAAUCUUAGUGGCGAACGGGUGAGUAACGCGUAAUCAACCUGCCCUUCAGAGGGGGACAACAGUUGGAAACGACUGCUAAUACCGCAUACGAUCCAAUCUCGGCAUCGGGACUGGAUGAAAGGUGGCCUCUAUUUAUAAGCUAUCACUGAAGGAGGGUAGUGCGUCUGAUUAGCUAGUUGGAGGGGUAACGGCCCACCAAGGCGAUGAUCAGUAGCCGGUCUGAGAGGAUGAACGGCCACAUUGGGACUGAGACCCGGCCCAGACUGCUACGGGAGGCAGCAGUGGGGAAUCUUGCGCAAUGGACGAAAGUCUGACGGAGCAACGCCGCGUGAGUGAUGACGGCCUUCGGGUUGUAAAGCUCUGUUAAUCGGGACGAAUGGUUCUUGUGCGAAUAGUGCGAGGAUUUGACGGUACCGGAAUAGAAAGCCACGGCUAACUACGUG
rnacentral:rRNA from 1 species